rnacentral:lncRNA from 1 species
AGUCCGCUCUCUCUGUGGACAAUUAGUGUGUUGCAUCUGCUGGUCAGUCAUUCUUUUUGUUGUUGUUGUUUUGGGUUUUGUGGGUUUGUUUUUGUUUUGUUUUUAGACAGGGUUUCUCUGUGCAGCCCUGGAUGUACCGGAACUCUGUAACACGGCUGGCCUGGAACUCAAGAGAUCUGUCUGCCUCAAAUACUGGGAUUAAAGGUGUGCUCAACCACCGCUCAGCAAGUCAUUCUUUGUCCAGAGAACUUUACGACUGUAAUGGAGGCCAAGGUUGAAGGCAUUGCUGCGUGGCUAGUCUAUUACACGCACAAGAUGGUUACAAGAACACCUAACGGAAUGACCAAGGAUCGAGGAAGCCAUCUGAACCAUGAUGGCCCUUCGCAGAUGACUUAAGAGAGUUUUGCUUAUCUCUUUAUGCGGAUGGACCUCUUUAAUUUGAUCACCAAAUAGUAUGAGAAAACUCUGACACAUUAAAGCAACACACGCCAGGAAAUUAUUGAUCACCAGGCCAGUGCUUGAGCCACAAAUAAUCUAUAGUUGCUCUAUUUUGUAGAACUGUGGUUCCGUUUGCCUUUCUCUUAACUAAUUUCUUCUAAUUUUUUUUUUGCUGUAAUAUCAAUAGUUGUACUAAUCAUGCAAGCGAUUUUGGAAACCUC